rnacentral:rRNA from 1 species
UACGAAGGGGGCUAGCGUUGCUCGGAAUCACUGGGCGUAAAGGGUGCGUAGGCGGUUUGGUAAGUCUGAUGUGAAAUCUAUGGGCUCAACUCAUAGUCUGCAUCGGAAACUGCCGGGCUUGAGUAUGGGAGAGGUGAGUGGAAUUCCUAGUGUAGAGGUGAAAUUCGUAGAUAUUAGGAAGAACACCGGUGGCGAAGGCGGCCCACUGGAUCGGUACUGACGCUGAGGUGCGAAAGCGUGGGGAGCAAACAGG